rnacentral:rRNA from 1 species
GAUUAAGUUAUUAAGGGCGCACGGUGGAUGCCUUGGCACUAGAAGCCGAUGAAGGACGUUACUAACGACGAUAUGCUUUGGGGAGCUGUAAGUAAGCUUUGAUCCAGAGAUUUCCGAAUGGGGAAACCCAGCAUGAGUUAUGUCAUGUUAUCGAUAUGUGAAUACAUAGCAUAUCAGAAGGCACACCCGGAGAACUGAAACAUCUUAGUACCCGGAGGAAGAGAAAGAAAAUUCGAUUCCCUUAGUAGCGGCGAGCGAAACGGGAAGAGCCCAAACCAACAAGCUUGCUUGUUGGGGUUGUAGGACACUCUAUACGGAGUUACAAAGGACGACAUUAGACGAAUCAUCUGGAAAGAUGAAUCAAAGAAGGUAAUAAUCCUGUAGUCGAAAAUGUUGUCUCUCUUGAGUGGAUCCUGAGUACGACGGAGCACGUGAAAUUCCGUCGGAAUCUGGGAGGACCAUCUCCUAAGGCUAAAUACUCUCUAGUGACCGAUAGUGAACCAGUACCGUGAGGGAAAGGUGAAAAGCACCCCGGAAGGGGAGUGAAAUAGAACCUGAAACCGUGUGCUUACAAGUAGUCAGAGCCCGUUAAUGGGUGAUGGUGUGCCUUUUGUAGAAUGAACCGGCGAGUUACGAUUUGAUGCAAGGUUAAGCAGUAAAUGUGGAGCCGUAGCGAAAGCGAGUCUGAAUAGGGCGUUUAGUAUUUGGUCGUAGACCCGAAACCAGGUGAUCUACCCUUGGUCAGGUUGAAGUUCAGGUAACACUGAAUGGAGGACCGAACCGACUUACGUUGAAAAGUGAGCGGAUGAACUGAGGGUAGCGGAGAAAUUCCAAUCGAACCUGGAGAUAGCUGGUUCUCUCCGAAAUAGCUUUAGGGCUAGCCUCAAGUGAUGAUUAUUGGAGGUAGAGCACUGUUUGGACGAGGGGCCCCUCUCGGGUUACCGAAUUCAGACAAACUCCGAAUGCCAAUUAAUUUAACUUGGGAGUCAGAACAUGGGUGAUAAGGUCCGUGUUCGAAAGGGAAACAGCCCAGACCACCAGCUAAGGUCCCAAAAUAUAUGUUAAGUGGAAAAGGAUGUGGCGUUGCCCAGACAACUAGGAUGUUGGCUUAGAAGCAGCCAUCAUUUAAAGAGUGCGUAAUAGCUCACUAGUCGAGUGACACUGCGCCGAAAAUGUACCGGGGCUAAACAUAUUACCGAAGCUGUGGAUUGUCCUUUGGACAAUGGUAGGAGAGCGUUCUAAGGGCGUUGAAGCAUGAUCGUAAGGACAUGUGGAGCGCUUAGAAGUGAGAAUGCCGGUGUGAGUAGCGAAAGACGGGUGAGAAUCCCGUCCACCGAUUGACUAAGGUUUCCAGAGGAAGGCUCGUCCGCUCUGGGUUAGUCGGGUCCUAAGCUGAGGCCGACAGGCGUAGGCGAUGGAUAACAGGUUGAUAUUCCUGUACCACCUAUAAUCGUUUUAAUCGAUGGGGGGACGCAGUAGGAUAGGCGAAGCGUGCGAUUGGAUUGCACGUCUAAGCAGUAAGGCUGAGUAUUAGGCAAAUCCGGUACUCGUUAAGGCUGAGCUGUGAUGGGGAGAAGACAUUGUGUCUUCGAGUCGUUGAUUUCAGACUGCCGAGAAAAGCCUCUAGAUAGAAAAUAGGUGCCCGUACCGCAAACCGACACAGGUAGUCAAGAUGAGAAUUCUAAGGUGAGCGAGCGAACUCUCGUUAAGGAACUCGGCAAAAUGACCCCGUAACUUCGGGAGAAGGGGUGCUCUUUAGGGUUAACGCCCAGAAGAGCCGCAGUGAAUAGGCCCAAGCGACUGUUUAUCAAAAACACAGGUCUCUGCUAAACCGUAAGGUGAUGUAUAGGGGCUGACGCCUGCCCGGUGCUGGAAGGUUAAGAGGAGUGGUUAGCUUCUGCGAAGCUACGAAUCGAAGCCCCAGUAAACGGCGGCCGUAACUAUAACGGUCCUAAGGUAGCGAAAUUCCUUGUCGGGUAAGUUCCGACCCGCACGAAAGGCGUAACGAUUUGGGCACUGUCUCAACGAGAGACUCGGUGAAAUCAUAGUACCUGUGAAGAUGCAGGUUACCCGCGACAGGACGGAAAGACCCCGUGGAGCUUUACUGUAGCCUGAUAUUGAAAUUCGGCACAGCUUGUACAGGAUAGGUAGGAGCCUUUGAAACGUGAGCGCUAGCUUACGUGGAGGCGCUGGUGGGAUACUACCCUAGCUGUGUUGGCUUUCUAACCCGCACCACUCAUCGUGGUGGGAGACAGUGUCAGGCGGGCAGUUUGACUGGGGCGGUCGCCUCCUAAAAGGUAACGGAGGCGCUCAAAGGUUCCCUCAGAAUGGUUGGAAAUCAUUCAUAGAGUGUAAAGGCAUAAGGGAGCUUGACUGCGAGACCUACAAGUCGAGCAGGGUCGAAAGACGGACUUAGUGAUCCGGUGGUUCCGCAUGGAAGGGCCAUCGCUCAACGGAUAAAAGCUACCCCGGGGAUAACAGGCUUAUCUCCCCCAAGAGUUCACAUCGACGGGGAGGUUUGGCACCUCGAUGUCGGCUCAUCGCAUCCUGGGGCUGUAGUCGGUCCCAAGGGUUGGGCUGUUCGCCCAUUAAAGCGGUACGCGAGCUGGGUUCAGAACGUCGUGAGACAGUUCGGUCCCUAUCCGUCGUGGGCGUAGGAAAUUUGAGAGGAGCUGUCCUUAGUACGAGAGGACCGGGAUGGACAUACCUCUGGUGUACCAGUUGUCGUGCCAACGGCAUAGCUGGGUAGCUAUGUGUGGACGGGAUAAGUGCUGAAAGCAUCUAAGCAUGAAGCCCCCCUCAAGAUGAGAUUUCCCAACUUCGGUUAUAAGAUCCCUCAAAGAUGAUGAGGUUAAUAGGUUCGAGGUGGAAGCAUGGUGACAUGUGGAGCUGACGAAUACUAAUCGAUCGAAGACUUAAUCAA